rnacentral:rRNA from 1 species
CAGCCGCCGCGGGAAUACGUAGGUAGCAAGCGUUGUCCGGAAUUAUUGGGCGUAAAGGGCUCGCAGGCGGUUUCUUAAGUCUGAUGUGAAAGCCCCCGGCUCAACCGGGGAGGGUCAUUGGAAACUGGGAAACUUGAGUGCAGAAGAGGAGAGUGGAAUUCCACGUGUAGCGGUGAAAUGCGUAGAGAUGUGGAGGAACACCAGUGGCGAAGGCGACUCUCUGGUCUGUAACUGACGCUGAGGAGCGAAAACGUGGGGAGCGAACAGGAUUAGAUACCCCAGUAGUCCCUGUCUCUUAUAC